UCCACGUUUGCCUCUGCGAUUCGAGAAUCCUUUCUCUGUCUCUGGGGGCGGCACUAGGCAGUCGCCCUCAGCACAGAGCCGCGGUGGCCUGGGGCGAAGGAGCCAGGGUCCCUUGCGCUCACCCGGGCGCCGCGCGCGGCUUUGGUGGGCUCUGUCCGAGGUGCUGAACGCUGCGGGCUCGGGGAGCGCCGGCAGCGUGUGCGAGCGUCCAUUGUUGCCAGUGUCUGGGCAUCUUCGUGGAGAAGGCCGAGGAUAGGGGUUAGGUGAAACCAGGGCGGUUCCUGGAGUGCCUGGGACCGGGGGUCCCUUCUCACUGUUCCCUCGUGCUGCACCCGACACCAUGCCCAGUACAGGGUCUCCUUCUACCCCGUCUGGUUGGUUAGCACCUCAAGGACUGUGCAGCCAUGACCUUGGCCUGUGGCAUCUCCACCGUGUCAACACCCAGGCCAUUCAGGAUGUCAAUACCUACUUCUGCACAUGCCUUCCUGUGACUUCAGGGCCUGGGACUCCAGCCAGAGCCGCUGCCCUCUUCCCGCAGAGCUUCCAGCAUCUCGGCACAGGAGAGAGUGCACCUGCCUCUAGAAAUACAAAACCCACUGCCUCUGAGCAUAGGUGCGGUGAUGUCAGCUGGAGCCCCAGGACCAGAACAGCCUCACCCCGCCUGCCUCACCCUAAGACCGUCUUCUCUGCUUCUCAGCCUGCCCGCCAGAUGGACGGGUUUGCUCGUGCCACGCUGGACUUUGACAGGAAGGAGCUGGAGCCCCUCCCCUGGCCGCCGGGCCGUGGGACUUAGCCAUCACCUCCUCCUCUCACUCCCUUCAGGGGCAGAAAAAAUGCAACAAGUAGGCAGCAAUAAAGUAUAAACAUGAAUAUAAGGAACUCCUACAACUCGAUAGCAAAAUAAAUAAAUAAAUGUGCCAAUUAAAAAAUGGGCCAAGACUCAAAUAGACAUUUCUCCAAAGAAGACAUACUAACGACCAGCAGAUACAUGAAAAGGCGCCCAGCAUCACUACCUGCCAGGAGAGUGCAAACCAGAAAGGGGCCUGCAGAGCAUUCUGUGGUAAGAGCUGCUGUGUAGGAUGUCACGGAGCAUGCGAGCUCGAGCGGAGUGGUGAAAGGACCAUCCUGCGGCAUGGAAGGACAGGGAAGUGCAGGCCACGCUGGGGGACAGGUUCAAAACAGCCUUGAGCCAAAACUCCGGCACAGCUCACCCCAAAUCUGUGCGGGUCCCUGGCCCUGUGAUGGGCUUCUGCAGCAAAACAGACCUGCUACAGGACCAGAGAACAGGGCCAUGGACAGUGGCCUGGGGGUUGGAAGGACCCGCUUCUCCAGAGGACACAGCUCCUGCUGGCACGAUGAGUCGGGCUUGGACAUGGAGCCUACAAUGAGUGGAAGGGGUGGAAGGUCCUCCAAGCCUCGUCCCAGAGGGCAUCCGAGUAGCCCUAAGCAGAGUGGCUGGGGACGAGGGCACAGAUGAGGGAAGUCAGGCCACAGGCACAGCUGGUUCUGUAGGUGAGUGGCGGGGCCCCCAGGGGACGGGACCAAGGUCUAAGGCAGAAAGGCACCAGGACCCAGCCACGGGGGCUGUAGUUGAGGGCAGGGAAACCAAGACAAGGCCAGAGUUCCGGAGCCUCGCUGCAGGUCUCUGGGAACCCCCAGCCCCACAACGUAGUCUCUAGACUGAAAACAGGGGCCCUGAGGUCACACAGAGAGAGACCCUCCCCUCCCAGCUCUCAAACAAGUCAAAAGGCCAAGGUUUCCGGUGGACAGAAGCCUUCAGAAUGCACACGUGGUCCUCAUGAGGGUCGGGGUGGGGUGACUUGUCACCUGGUAGAGAGCAGCAGAAUUGUCCCCCAGCCCCCCAAGGCCCUGGGAAUGUCAAAUAGCAGUAGAUUGCUCUCCGAGGACAGGGGUCCUCAGCUGCAGGGCUGUAUUUUGCUCGCGGGGCAUGUGCAGGUAUGAAGCCUGGGGAUGAAAGAGAGAUGAGGCUGCACCCCCAGCCCCUCCUUCUUCUCUGCUCCUCCCACAUUCGAACGUAGCCCCUUCCCUAAAUUAUUUUUGAACCAAAUUGCCUUAGGAC